GCCCCUGUAGUAUAGCCUGGAUAGAAUACGGGCUUGCGGAGCCUGUGACCGGGGUUCGAAUCCCCGCGGGGGCA
rnacentral:tRNA from 1 species